AAGUCGUAACAAGGUUUCCGUAGGUGAACCUGCGGAAGGAUCAUUAAUGAAUAACUUUGGCAUGGUUGUAGCUGGCUCUUAGGAGUAUGUGCACACCUGUCAUCUUUAUCUUUCCACCUGUGCACUUAAUGUAGAUCUGGAUAACUCUCGCUCUUCGGAGCGGAAACAAGGUUUGCUGUGCCGCAAGGCCAGCUCUCUUUGAAUUUCCAGGUCUAUGUCUUUACAAACCCCCAAUUGAAUGAUGAAGAAUGUAGUCAAUGGGCUCUACUAAGCCUAUAAAACAAAAUACAACUUUCAGCAACGGAUCUCUUGGCUCUC
rnacentral:misc_RNA from 1 species